rnacentral:misc_RNA from 1 species
AACUUUCAGCAACGGAUCACUUGGCUCUCGCAUCGAUGAAGAACGCAGCGAAAUGCGAUAAGUAAUGUGAAUUGCAGAAUUCAGUGCACCAUCGAAUCUUUGAACGCACAUUGCGCCCGCCAGUAUUCUGGCGGGCAUGCCUGUCCGAGCGUCAUUUCAACCCCUCAAGCCCGGCUUGGUGUUGGUGCCCCUACGCGCGCCGUAGGCCCCGAAUUCCAGUGGCGGGCCCGCCGCGGUCCCGGGCGCAGUAGCUUCUCGCCGCGCUCAGGGCCCCCGGCGGGCGCCUGCCGUGAAACGCGCCACGGGCGCACGCGCACACGCGCAAGGUUGACCUCGGAUCAGGUAGGAAUACCCGCUGAACUUAAGCAUAUCAAUAAGCGGAGGCU